UGCCACCAGCGGCAGGGGUGGGAUGGUCAGUGAGUCCCCGCGCGCCACGUAGGCCAGCUUUCUUUUCCCAGGCGGGUUGAUUUGGGAGGAAAUUCGAUAGUGGAGACUGGACACGCGCUUCCGGAUUUCUCAUAAGUUUUAAUGUUGUGACGAUCAGGCUGCACCGUGGAUUUUAAAAUCAGAAUUUCUGGGUUGGAAGGGACCUAGGUAUUAGCGUGAAAAAAGUUCCUUCCCCAGGUGUGUUUGCAAAAGUACAUCCCCUGAGGCUGGGAACUAGACAACAAAGAGGAGGCAACUACUCCGGUCCUUGAGGGGGCGGUCCGGGUCCUGCCCAGACACCUCUCAGCAGGGCACCAGUGCAGAGCUCCCCCGCAGUAUCUGAUUUUGGCUCCUGGGACCCAAAGGCAAAGGCUUGUGGGCGUGUGGCUGGGAGCCGCUGGAAGGCAUGUACUGUGUGCUUUGGGUUAAAGGAUUGGCUGAGAAUGGAGUAAAGAUCAGUACCAUUUCUACACAAGUGUUGUAACUGGAUACCUGCAAUGAGCAGGAUUCAACUUUGGAGGCAUGAACUCAACGGCUGGCUCUGCAACCUACUAGUAGAGCAAUUUGGGCACAUAUUGCCCUUCUAAGCCAUGUGUGUGUGUGUGUGUGUGUGUGUGUAUACACAUAUAUAUCUAUCUGUGAAGUGAGUACCAUAUCCAUCUCCCAGGAAUGCCACACAGAGUGAAAGAACAAAUGUAAAAAAAGUGUUUUGUAAAUUCCAAAAUUCUGGGCAAACAUUAGCUUGUAUCACUUGCACAAGAGACUCUUUGAUACUGUCAUUGAAUUUGCAGUAAUCAUCCAUAAAGAUAUUCAACACCAA